GACUUCAACUGAAAAAGUCAUCAACAACAAAGUUGUAUAAUCCAUCAAGAACUAUAAUUUUUAUUUUGGUCAUUUCUUCAUCCGAUAAAGUGAUAGUAACAUUGUUCACAAAUUUUACAUAUCUCCAAUAUGGUUUCAUAAAUUAUAAGAGAGGCUGUGUAAAUUCUGUGAACAAUGUUACUAUCAUUUUAUCGGAUAAAGAAAUGACCAAAAUAAAAGUUAUAUAUAUUGAUGAGUUAUACAACUUUGUUGUUGAUGACCUUUUCAGUUGAAAUA
rnacentral:pre_miRNA from 1 species